CCUACGGGACGCAGCAGUGGGGGAUAUUGCACAAUGGGGGAAACCCUGAUGCAGCGACGCCGCGUGGGUGAAGAAGCGCCUCGGCGCGUAAAGCCCUGUCAGCAGGGAAGAAAAUGACGGUACCUGAAGAAGAAGCCCCGGCUAACUACGUGCCAGCAGCCGCGGUAAUACGUAGGGGGCAAGCGUUAUCAGGAUUUACUGGGUGUAAAGGGGGCGCAGACGGCGAUGCAAGCCAGGAGUGAAAGCCCGGGGCCCAACCCCGGGACUGCUCUUGGAACUGCGUGGCUAGAGUGCAGGAGGGGCAGGCGGAAUUCCUGGUGUAGCGGUGAAAUGCGUAGAGAUCAGGAGGAACACCGGUGGCGAAGGCGGCCUGCUGGACUGCAACUGACGUUGAGGCCCGAAAGCGUGGGGAGCAAACAGGAUUAGAUACCCGAGUAGUC
rnacentral:rRNA from 1 species